UACGAAGGGGGCUAGCGUUGUUCGGAAUUACUGGGCGUAAAGCGCACGUAGGCGGGUCGUUAAGUCAGGGGUGAAAUCCCAGAGCUCAACUCUGGAACUGCCUUUGAUACUGGCGACCUAGAGUUCGGAAGAGGUUAGUGGAAUUCCCAGUGUAGAGGUGAAAUUCGUAGAUAUUGGGAAGAACACCAGUGGCGAAGGCGGCUAACUGGUCCGAUACUGACGCUGAACGGCGAAAGCUAGGGGAGCAAACGGG
rnacentral:rRNA from 1 species